AGUGAACGCUGGCGGUAGGCCUAACACAUGCAAGUCGAACGGCAGCACGGUAAGAGCUUGCUCCUACGGGUGGCGAGUGGCGGACGGGUGAGGAAUACAUCGGAAUCUACUUUUUCGUGGGGGAUAACGUAGGGAAACUUACGCUAAUACCGCAUACGACCUACGGGUGAAAGCAGGGGAUCUUCGGACCUUGCGCGAUUGAAUGAGCCGAUGUCGGAUUAGCUAGUUGGCGGGGUAAAGGCCCACCAAGGCGACGAUCCGUAGCUGGUCUGAGAGGAUGAUCAGCCACACUGGAACUGAGACACGGUCCAGACUCCUACGGGAGGCAGCAGUGGGGAAUAUUGGACAAUGGGCGCAAGCCUGAUCCAGCCAUACCGCGUGGGUGAAGAAGGCCUUCGGGUUGUAAAGCCCUUUUGUUGGGAAAGAAAAGCAGCAGGUUAAUACCCCGCUGUUCUGACGGUACCCAAAGAAUAAGCACCGGCUAACUUCGUG
rnacentral:rRNA from 1 species